UAAUGUAUGGGGAUCUGCCCGAUAGAGGGGAAUAAUUACUGGAAACGGUGGCUAAUACCGCAUAAUGUCUACGGACCAAAGCAGGGGCUCUUCGGACCUUGCACUAUCGGAUGAACCCAUAUGGGAUUAGCUAGUAGGUGGGGUAAAGGCUCACCUAGGCGACGAUCUCUAGCUGGUCUGAGAGGAUGAUCAGCCACACUGGGACUGAGACACGGCCCAG
rnacentral:rRNA from 1 species